AAAACACCGGCCACUCCCACUUCCCGCUCCAAGUUAGAAACACAAUUUUAUCCUUUUCUUUUCUUUUCUACAUUCCACUUCUUUUCUACAUUCAGAAACACAAUUUCAGCCCACUUCACGGUUGCGCCGCCAUCACUCCGUCGGAGCAAUUCUGAUGGGAUUUUCACCAAACUAUGCGUUCCUCAUGUUCGGCCAGUUUGUCGCCGGCAUAGGAAUCGGUUUUGCUUUCCUCAUUGCACCCUUUUACACCUCGAAAAUCUCUCCUACUUCUUCCCGUGGCUUCCUCUGUUCCUUGCCUGAGGUCUUUUUGAACGGAGGAAUAUUGCUGGGAUACAUCUCAAACUAUGCAUUUUCAAAGCUUUCACUUCGAAUGGGUUGGCGGUUGAUGCUAGGAGUAGGAGCGAUUCCUUCAAUGUUCCUAGCCGUGGCGGUUUUAGCAAUUCUUUUUUGAAGUGGCUUGAUUCUCUUUUUCAUUUUUCUGCAUUUGUUAUUUUAAAUUGGGUUUUUGCUAAUAAUCUUAAUGAGUGGCCACUGUAUUCAUUUUACAACUUGGAGUGCUGAAUUUAAUCAAUCAUUUUGAUUAGCAUGAGAUUGCAGGGAUGAGGCAAUGUUGUUUCUGGUUUCAGAAUUUUGCAAUCCAAUUGAUCCAAGCUUCAGAAUUACAAUUCUAUUUGAAGUCUCAGUUUUGCCAUUCUCACUUGUUGGAUUUUUCAGCUGAAACUUUGUUUUUUUUUCCUGAAGAAGUUAUGCUUCUUGUGGUUUACAGUUUCCCUUGUUUGUUCCACAUUUCCAAGAUCUUGUUCAGUGAAGUUGGAACAAGUAACAGAACUAUAUUCAUUGUUAUCUGUCCCAUGAAAUUUCACAAACUCUUGUAUACAUUUCAACAAAAGUGAAUUUGGGUUUUGUAUAAGUGCAAGAAACAAUUCCUUGUCUAAGCUUAUAAGUUGAAGUGCUUCCAUAAGUUCCUGCGAAUGAAGAAAUUGCAUGCUUCUGGUUUGACCGAGUAUGAACUCCUCUAUCAUUGCCAUGCUUCACAGAACAAGACUCUUUAAAGUGACAAAACUCUUCAAUUAUGUUAUCCAGAUCAAGAUCAUCUUUUGAUUGCCGCCGAGAGUGUUGAUUAUGCAAGUACUUAGAUUUCAUGGUUGCAUCCAAAUUCAGAUUAUUAAUGUCCAUAUCACAGCUUUUACUGCUAGAUUUCUUUUUCCUUUUGUAAUCCGUCGGCUGCGGAACUUCACAUUUUAAUCUGGAUCCAUUUGGUUCUAAAAAGAACUAGGCGUAAUGCAGUAAUUUUUGAAUCAAAUGUAGUAGAUGAUUCAGUAUAGAAUAAGAGCAAGUUUCCUAAAUCUAGAGAUUGUAUUCACUUCUUGAUGGUAUUUUCUCAUUUACUAUU